UGUUAUGUAUGAGCAAAGAAAGUAGUUUCUUGAAAUGGAAUCUACUUCUGGUGAAAAUGCUAUGAA
rnacentral:pre_miRNA from 1 species